GACGAACGCUGGCGGCGUGGAUUAGGCAUGCAAGUCGAACGGUAGAUAUCCUUCGGGGUAUUGAGAGUGGCGAACGGGUGAGUAACACGUAGGUAAUCUACCCUCAAAUCGGGGACAACCCAGGGAAACUUGGGCUAAUACCGGAUGAGUGCAGCACCUAAAUCAUCCAUACGGAAUCUGGUUAAGAUUGGGUUUUGUAUGGUUGGGUGAUUUAGGUGCUGUAUAAAAGAUGGCUUCGGCUGUCGUUUGAGGAUGAGCCUGCGCUCUAUUAGUUAGUUGGUGAGGUAAUGGCUCACCAAGGCGAUGAUAGAUAGGCGGCCUUAACGGGUGGUCGCCCACACUGGGAUUGAGAUACGGCCCAGACUCCUACGGGAGGCAGCAGUCGAGAAUAGUCUACAAUGGACGAAAGUCUGAUAGUGCGACGCCGCGUGAACGAUGAAUCCC
rnacentral:rRNA from 1 species